rfam:Triticum urartu cultivar G1812 contig784550, whole genome shotgun sequence.
GCGGCGCGGCGGCUCCGUUCGCCGGAGGAGCGUGCAGCGUGCUAGCGCCGCGUGCUGCUUCGUCGAACGGCGCCGACCACGUUGC